GGUGGAGAAUGGUGGGAAGGUGUCUAGGAUGGGUGUAUGGCACGGCUAGGAAGGUUUGGGGUCAGAAGAUAUGGAUUUGGGUGAAGGUUGGGCACGGCAAGAGGUGAGAGAUGAAAUCUGGCGUGAAUGGAGUUGUAUGGAUGUGUGUGGAAUAUUUUUGUGGCUGCAACAAGGAGGUUUAUUUAAAGGAAAACAGAAAUUGAAACCCUAGGUUGAUUAGGAAAUCAGAAAUUAAGUCUAAGGAUUCUAGAAUUAGGAAAUAAAAUCAGAAACUUAAAGGAAACCCACCAAAAGUUGCGGCAAUCACUUAAAACACAAAAGGAAUGUGUUUUAAGUCAGAUUUUGGGAAAGAAACCCUCUCCCUUGCACGGCAAGGAAGAGGAAAAGUCAGAAAUCCCUUACAAGGUGAUGCAAAGCUUUAGGAAAGGUUUAAGUGUCCUAAAACUUAAAGGGAAAGGGAAAGCUUAUGCGGCAAGGACAAGGGAUUGGUGUAUGAUGUGCGGCAAAGGUCCCUAAGAAUUCUAGGGCCUUUGUUUGGUGUCUGAUAGGAGCAUAUUUAUGCGCCUUAGUUAGCUAGUUCUUAUGCAUUUAUGUUAUGUUUUCUUAGUUAAGUUAGUCUUUUAAGCUAUUUUCAUGUGUUUUCAGGUUUUAGAGACAAAGUGAGCAAAAGGAUGCAAUUUGGAGCAUUUUGGAGCAAAAUUGGGCUAGAAUGGAGUUCAUACACAUGAGGCACAAGGGAUGGACGAAUUUGAAGGAUUGAUGAAGCUAGGAAUGUGUUUUGAAGUUGAAGAAUUGAAGAUACAAAGUUUCCUAGUUGAAGUAGGAAAGGGCUUAAAGUGAAGGAUUCCUAAAUGAAGAAGGAUUCCUAAUCAAUGUAGGAGUCCUAAUUGAUGAUGGAUUCCUAGACAAAUGAAGUUUCCUACUCAAGCAAGUAUUCCUACAUGAAGAAGAAGAGUUAAAGUCAAAGAAUCAGCUCAAGAGAAGGAUCUUAUCCAAAACAUUAUCCAUAACCUUAUCUUAGCUUAUCUUAUCCAAACAAACCUUAUCCUAAUCCUAAAUUAUCCACAUUUCAGCCACUUAGGAGGGUUUCUAACUUGAUUAGGAUGCUUAAAAUCAGAUUUCUAGAAGACCUAAUCUUAUCCUACAAAGGUGGCGCCUAGGAACCUUUCUAGAAGCCUAAAAAUCUGCCAUGUAUUUCUUUCUAGAACCCUAGCUUUGUGCCGCACCCUAUACCUAUUUCCCUUGGGAUUUUGGUUUCUAGAAGCCUUAUCUUUUCACACUCUUUGUGCCGCACAUUAUCUCCCAUUCCUUUUGGGUUUUUUACUUGUUAUCCUUAUAGGAUUGUAUGUUAUUAUCCUAUGCAGAUUAGGCCUUUAAAACCUUGUCCUUGGCUACCUAGGAGUGGGGAUUUUCAGCCUAUAAAUACAAGCCUAUGUCGCACCCUUUCAACCACCACCCUCUACCAGAUUUUCACUACACCAUUCACCCAACCAUCCCUUAUUGUGCCGUGAAUUUGCAAGGAGAAGAAGGAAGAACUCUUGGAGCCGUGCAUGCCAUUCAAGACGUUGGAUUGUUGGAGCGAUUCUAGGUGUUUUCUAUCUUUAUGUCAAUGUUUAAAUUUAUUUAUCUUUGUUUAUUUGCGAACAUGAGGAACUAAUUUCUUUAUAGUUAGAGGGGAAUUCAAAGCCAUGAUCGUAUGUUUUAUAUGACUUGAUUUCUUCCAAUUAUGAUUUCAUAAAUCGUGAAUGUGGUUUACUUAUCUAUUUGAUUGAUAACUUGUUCUUGUAUGUUAAUUAAGGAUGCAUACUUAGUUCGCAUGCAUGAAUUUGAUGCUAGAGUAUAAGGGAAUUUCACCUAAUCGUUAUUAACUUAUAUUCAUAAGUAGUAAAAUUCGCUAGUCACAAUUGUGUUAAGUAAAUCCUUGGCAAGAGUAACAUGCGUAUCCCAUAGUUAUGAAUGUCUCGUCAAUGCUUAUGAUUUCCAUUGAACUUAAUGACCUUUGAUAUGUGUCUCUAUCAUGCGUAUUCCAUAGUUAGGGUCCUUGAUAAGAAUAAUUUGGUUGUAAUGCGUAUUCCAUUCAAUUCAAUGAAUCUAGGGAAAUCUGAGAAUUAAUUGGUGCAAUCUAGUUAAUUUGGGGCAUUGUCAUUCAUGGUUUGUUGAAAGAGUAAUUGGAAAUUGAGUCGUAUGCAUAUGUUUCAUGUGUGGAGAAGGAACCCUCUAGCUAGCCUUUGCCCAUUCUAUUUCAUCAAAAUCGUUUUUGUCAAGUUAGUUUACAAAGUUUUGUUUUGUUUUGAAAUUCGUCCAAAAUCAAUCCCCCUUUACUUGGUUGAGUCAUAGUAGUUAGAAAUCAUUUUAGUUUGUGUUUUUAAGUGUCUUAGGUCAAGUGAAAACCAAUUUUCGUCCAAGUUUGUGUCUAGUGUUCAAAACUGCCCAGAUUGUGGUUUUAAGCCAGUUUUGAGUGUUUCUGGGCUGUUUUGAGUCUUUUGGUUUGUUUUGGUGUUUUAAAGUUUAGUUUUGCAUUCUUUGAGUCUAGUUUAGUGUUUUAAACUUGUUUUACGUAUUUGAGUCAGUUUUCAGUUUUCAAGUGAUUUUGCAAUCCCUCCUAAUCCCCGGUUUAGAACGAUCCCUACUUACAUACUUUGCUACAAUUGAUAAAAAGAGGGUUAAUUUGUGUGUCAACAUAAUUUUCACAUCAAAUUUUGGCGCCGUUGCCGGGGAUUAGCAACUUUGCUAAUCCCUUGGAUUGUUUUAUUUCAGUUUGUUUAAUUUGUUACAGAUUCUGACCAUUGUUUUGUUUUCUUGUUCUUAGGUACUAGUUUAUGACUCGGAGUUCUCAUCCGGUUCGUGAACACAUCUUGCACUUUGACGACGAUUUUGAACGAGAGUUGAGACGAAAGAGGAAGAAUCCAGACCCUAGUGAAUCAAGUUCAAAUUCAGAAGCCGAAGUUGAGAUUGAAGAAGAGGAACCCACGGCACAAGUGGGUGAAGUUGAGACAGUCAUGGCACAAGACAAUCGUACAAUCAAGGAGCUUUCGGCUUCGGGGUUGGACAAUGCCGCACCUCUAUGUAUUCAAUAUCCCGCGGCUGCUCAAGGAAAGACCGAGGAAUUCGAGCUAAAGUCAAGUUUGUUACACCAUAAAUAUGCUCCUAUCAAGAGCAUGAAACGGGCUUUUGAUAUGAGCAUAUUUAUGCGACUUAGUUGGCUUGUUCUUAAGCAUUUAUGUUGUUUUUUCUUUAGUUAUUUUAGUGUUUAAAGUCAUUUUCGUGCAAUUUCAGGUUUAGAGAUGAAGUAUGCAAAGAAGUGCAAAAUGGAGCAUUUUAGAGCAAAAUUGAGCUGGAAUGGAGUGUAUGCUAAUGGAGCACAAGGAAUGGACGAGUUUGAAGGUCAAAGGAGCUUAAGAAAUGAAGAAAUGAAAGUGAAGAACAAAGAAUUCAGAUUUGGAAACCAAAGUUUCUAAAGUUGGAAGUUUCUAUUCUUGGAGGUUUCCAUUUUCGAGAGUUUCUAUUCUUGGCUUUGGGCUUUUAGAUGACCUAAACCCUAAUUCCUUGUGGACCCUAACCCUAGCCGCACCUAGGCCUCUAGAAUAUCUGAUUUCCUUGCCUUGCAAGGCAUUCUAGAAGGCCCAUCUCUAAACCCUAACCCUAGCCGCACCUUAGGCCUUAUUCCCACUAAAAAUCUGAUUGUUUUAACCUAAUUUUCUGGUGGAUUUGGGCUUCUAGAAACCCUAAUCUGAUUGCUAGGGUUUUGAAGUGCCUAUAUAUACUCAUUAAACCCUUUUGGCCGGAAAAAUCACCUCCCAUAUACAUCAUUCACGUCAGAAACAAAGAGGCUCUCUUUGCCGCACCUUUCCACCACCAUAUUCCAUAUUUUCUGCCCAAAAUCAUCCCUAGCCGCACCACCCAUCAACCCUACACCUUUCCAUACCAUUCCCCAUCCAUUCUACACCAUAAAUACCACCCCAAAACCUGUUUUAAAAGUUCUCUGCCGUAGCAAGGAGGAAGGAGAAUUCUUGGAUGCGCUUGCUGCCAAGUUGGAGCGUUCUAGGUGUUUUCUUUCUUUGGAUUUUAAUUUCUAAAUUUAUGUAUCUUUGCUUUGCGAGUAUGAGGAACUAAACCCCCCUUGGCUAGGGGGGAUUCGAAACCAUGUUUAUGCUUGCUAUAUGAUUUGAUUACUUCUAAUUGCGUUUCAUAAGUUGUGAAUUCAAUUUACUUAUCUACAAGAAUUAAAACUGAUUUGUGUAUGUUGGUUGAGGGUCGACACUUAAUUUGCAUGCAUGAAUUUGAUGCUAGGAUAUAAGGAAAUUUCACCUAAUCGUUAUGGACUUAUAUUCAUAAGUAGUAAAGGUUGAUGAUCUCAAUCGCGUUAAGUAAAUUCUUGGCAUAAGUUUCAUGCAAUCAUAGUAACAAGUGCUUCGUCAAUGCUUAUGGUUUUCAUAGAACUUAAUGAUUUUUGCUUGUAUCUCUAUUAUGCAAUCAUGUAGGGGACUUGUGGGGAAUGCUUUGGGUUUGUCGUAUGCAAUCAUCCAAUUCAAUAACGUUAGGAAAAUCUGAAGGUUAAUUUAAGCGGACCUAAUUAACUAGGGGCGUUGAGAAUUCAUGGGUUAUUGAAAAGCAAUUGGAAAUCGUUUUGAAUGCAAGUAUAACAUGUGUGGAGAUGAACCCCUUAGCUAGCUUUCUAUCCAUUCAAUUCAAUCAAAUUCGUUUUAAAAUCUGUUUUGAUUUACAAGUUUUAUGUUUUGUUUUCAAUUUCAUAAAAACCAAAUCCCCCUUUGUUUUCAAGUGUCAAAUUAUUAGUUAGAGAGUGUGUUAGUUUGUGUUUUUAAGUGUUUUGAGUCAAGUUAAAACCCUAUUUUUGUCAAAAUCUUGUUUAGAGUUCAAAACUGCCCAGAAAGUGGUUUUAAGGCAGUUUUUUGAGUGUUUUUUUUGUGUUAUUUUUGAGUCUUUUGGUUUGUUUUGGCGUUUUAAGUUAUAGUUUUACAUUCUUUGAGUCUAGUUUAGUGUUUUAAACUUUGUUUUUACGUUUUUGAGUCAGUUUUCAAGUGAUUUAGCAAUCCCUCCUAAUCCCCGGCCUAGAACGAUCCCUACUUACAUACUUACUACAAUUGAUAAAAAGAGGGUUAAUUUGAGUGCUAGUUAAUUUUCAUAUCAAAUUUUGGCGCCGUUGCCGGGGAUUAGCAACUUUGCUAAUCCCUUGGAUUGUUAUUUUCGUUUUUCUUAUUAGAUCAGAUUCUUAUGUUAUUUUGUUUCUUGUUUUAGGUACUUGUUUAUGACUCGGAGUUCUAAUCCAGUUCACGAACAUAUUUUAGACUUUGACGACGAUUUUGAGCGUGAGUUGAGACGAAAGAGGAAGAACCCGGAACCUAGUGAAUCAAGUGCAAGUUCCGAGUCCGUUUCUGAAUUUGAAGAGGAAGUGGAAGACAUGGCAGUGGACAACCGAACGAUCAAGGAGCUUUCCGCUUCGGGAUUGGAUAAUGCCGCACCUCUAUGUGUCCAAUACCCUAGGGCGGCUCCGGACAAAACUCCGGAGUUCGAAUUGAAGUCAAGCUUGUUACAUCACAUUCCGAAGUACCAUGGGCUGUCCAUGGAAGAUCCGAACAAGCACUUGAAGGAGUUUGAAGUCGUUUGCUCAAGCAUGACUCCGGUGAACGUGGAUGAGAGCAUCUUGAAGAUGAAGGCCUUUCCCUUUUCUCUCCUAGAGAAGGCGAAAGAUUGGUUGUACGAAUUGGCUCCCGGAACUGUCACAUCAUGGGAGAGCAUGAAACGAGCUUUCUUGGAGAAGUUUGUCCCAACUUCUCGAGUCAUCCUCCUACGUAAAAGGAUAAGUGGCAUUCAACAAGAUGAAGGUGAAUCCUUUCCUACUUAUUAUGAACGUUUUAAAUCUCUUGUUGCUUCAUGUCCACAGCAUCAAAUGAAGGAGGAACUACUUCUACAAUACUUCUACGAGGGACUUCUACCAAUUGAACGUCAAACGCUAGAUGCCUCAGCGGGAGGAGCAUUGGUGGACAAGACCCCUACUGCUGCAAGGAUGUUGAUUGCUAAUCGAGCGUUGAACGCUCAACAAUACGAAGGUGUUGGACAAAGGAGCAUGCCACGGCAACAUCAAGUCAAUGAGGUAAGUGCCAUAACCGAACUUCAAAAUCAAAUGGCUAACCUUACUACGUUGCUUUCUCAGGUGGUGGAAGGUCCAAAAGUCAAACCCGUAGCUUCUUGUGGCGUAUGCUCCAUGCAAAACCACAAUACGGACAAGUGCCCACAAUUGAUCGAGAAUGGAGGGUGGGAGACACUCAAUGCCGUGGGAUAUGGCAACCAAUACCAAUCACGUGGUGAUCCGUUUUCCAUUACUUACAAUCCCGGUUGGCGUGAUCAUCCGAAUUUCAAAUGGCGAGACCCCCAACAAGGCCAACAACAAAGCGGAUUUAGGCAACAACCCUCGGGUUUCUAUCAAAAGCCGUUGGCACCACCACAAGCCCAAGCACAACCUGCCCAAAGCAAUGCAGGUGAUUCAAGUGAUAAUGAUAAGAUUUUUCAAUUACUUACUACUUUGACGCAGGAAGUCCAAACUCAAAACAAAGAAAGGCAAAUCCAAGACAAGAGGGUGGACAACUUGGAAAAGCAAGUGGGACAAAUUGCCAAUUUCAUGGGGCAAUUUCGUGAGCAGGGAAGGUUGCCUAGCUCAAUGGUGGUCAAUCCGAAAGGUGGAUUCGAAUCUGCAAAAGCUAUGCAUUUGCGAAGUGGAAAGCAAGUCGGAUCUGACCUCAAACCAUCCAAGUCACGUUCCAACGAGGAGGAAGAGUUGAGAAUUGAAGAGGAGGAGCAAAGGCCACUCACGACCAAGGUGGAACCAACAAUGCCGCAACCACCCAAGCAUUCCAAUUCGGCCACCAUAGGUAAGGAAGGUCUAAUUCAAGUUAAUUCUAAUGUCAUUCCUCCGAAUGUACCGUUUCCUAGCAGAUUUUUGCAAGCCAAGAACGAAGAAGAGGAGAAAGACGUUCUCGAGACGUUUAGGAAGGUGCAUGUCAAUAUCCCACUCCUUGAUGCUAUAAAGCAAAUCCCGAAGUAUGCCAAGUUUUUGAAGAAGCUUUGUACAACAAGGAAACGGAUACGGGAGAAGGAGGUGGUACACGUAAGUGAGAAUGUAUCUGCAUUGUUGCAAAGAAAGUUACCACCUAAAUGCAAAGAUCCAGGUAGUUUCACUAUCCCUUGUGUUAUUGGCAAUACGAGGUUUGAUCAUGCUAUGUUAGAUUUAGGUGCAUCUAUAAAUGUCAUGCCAUAUUCUGUUUAUGCAUCUAUGAAUCUAGGAAAGCUUAAAAAUGAUGGUGUUAUUAUUCAAUUAGCCGAUCGAUCUAAUGCAUAUCCCAAAGGAGUGUUGGAAGAUGUUUUGGUGCAGGUAGACCAUUUGAUUUUUCCUGCAGAUUUCUAUGUGCUUGAUAUGGAGGACUCAACCCACUCUCCACCAUCACCACUCUUACUUGGACGACCAUUCAUGAAAAUGGCUCAAACCAAGAUUGACGUGGCCAAGGGAGCAGUAACUAUGGCCUUUGGUGGUGAUAUGAUUAACUUUAAGAUUUCUGGAUCGGUUGAGAAUACUAAUGAUGUUCGUUCUUGUUGUGCUAUUAAUGUAAUUGAAAAUAUAGGGCAGGAAUGUUCAACACUAGUCAACAAGAAUGUACCACAACCCACCAUCGAGGAAGGAAUUGGAGUGAACAACAAAGAGUGCACGGCCCCAACCUUGAAAUCACCAAAUCUGGCCGAGUGCACCCCUUGUGCAUAUGUCCAUAGUGCUACCACUUCUUUGCCGUACAAAGGUAAGCCACCUAUUCCAAAUUCGAUUCCCAUUUCAACUAAUAGGUUGUUACCUUGUAUGGUGCUGGUACCUAAUCGAAGACAACGUGGUGGGAGAGUUCGUGUUGAUUUAGAGAAGCAAAACAUGACAAUAAGAAAGGAUCAUUAUCCCAUCCCAUUCAAGGACCCAAAGAAUGAAGUAUUUCGUAGGACAGGUUGUGGAAAAACCCCUCCAUGCCGUGGGGUUCCAUAAACCUUCAAUGGAGCAUCGUCCGGCUGCAAGACGUUAAAGAAAGCGCUACUUGGGAGGCAACCCAUGCAUUCAACAAAAGAAGACCGAGAAAGCACUCCAAUUCCAGAUUUGCGUUCCUAAACCCUUCUCUUUGUUGCUAUUUCGUUUCUGCCAUAUUAGGUUGUUUAGAUGUUGUUUGGUUUGUUUGUUUGUUAUUUGUGUGCAUCUAUGCUUGAAACAUUGAGGACAAUGUUUGAUUUAAGUGUGGGGGGGUAACCAAAGUGUUUUGAUGCAAAUUCGUAGGGUUUAUCACUCAUAACUUCUAAAUGUUGUUCCUUGCUGUUUUUAAGUGUUUUAAGUGUUUUUAAGCUGUUUUAGUGUGUUUUGAUUCAAAAAUCCGAAAAUCCCAUAAAAAUUUGAAAAAAAUUGUUUUAAAAACCCAAAAAGAGUUGUUUUUGUGUGUUUGUUUGUGUCUUAGGGUACCUUCCAACACAAUGAUGAGGAUUCGGUUUGUAAUUGCAUGAUUGUUAAAGCGAGUUAUAAACAUGGAUAAAAGUUUGAUUUACUCUUUGGUUUAUGCUUGGUUGUGGUUAUAACUUAUGAAUUCACAUGUAAUCAUAAAGAAAAAAAAAAUAGUUUUUGUAACAUGCUUGAAGGAAGGAACUCAAACAAACGCUACAACCUUGUGAGACUUGAGCCUAAACGUUUAUUUGGAGAGUUAAAAUCUGUGCAUUGUUGUUUUCUAAAGUCGUUGCAUGAUCUCAUUAUUCUUUGCUUGGUUAUUACUUAGAAGGUGUUUCAUCAUUUAGUUCCAAAUGCUAGAACUCAUGCCAAUUUCAUUCAAAACAUGUUAUUGAAUUACAUAACACAUAUUCAAGAUGAAGUUAGUAGUUACCACCAUAGCCAAAAAGCCUUCAUUCCAUGCAGUCGUUUUUGUAGGUUUUAACCCCGUUGAGCCGUGUUUAGCCUAUGUUUUCUUCGUUAACCCACAUUAUCCUCACCUAGCCUAGAUUAGGACCAUCCAUACCUUCGUUCUUGAAGCAUAGUAAUGAAUGACUCAAAAUGAAUUCCUUUUGGUCAUUGUUGGCAGAAAACAAGUGUGGGGGAAGUGAGUUUUGUUGUGGGUGUGCCAAAGUCUUGAAUGAGGCACGAAAAGGAAAAGAAAAAGAAAAAUUUCGUGGAAAAUAAAAAGAAAAAAAAAGAACAAAAAAGUUGUGAAAAGAAUGAAAAGGAGUUGAAAAGAUGUGAAAAAGAGUUCUUAAGUGUUGUUUGUUGAAGGAAGGGUCCAAAACAGUGAAUUCGGCCCUAAUUGUUGUUGAAUCUUCCCUUUGUGUUUAAAAGUUAAUUUCUGCAUGCUAAUGGGAAUUCUGAGUACGAUUUCAUUGUUUUGCUUACUAUUGCUUAAAGAACGUUUGUUUUCCCUAUCCUUUCGUUGUUAGCCAACUCCCCUAGCCCCGUUACAACCCUUGACUUUAAUCUUGAGUGUUAUGUGUUUCAAUUUGUGGAGUUUAAAAUUGGUAUGAGCAUAUGGUGUCACUGGUUCUCGCAUCUAAGUAGUAGCAUUCCAUUCAUGAGAUUAUAUCUAAACAUGCUUAUUAACUCCGAAAAGUGCUUUCUUUGUUAUACAUAUAUGUGAGCAUUCGUUUUCAUAUUUACAUCAAUCUUCUCACAUAUAACUAGUAUAGGGUGUGUAGUCAGAAAAUCUGAGUGAAAAUUGAGUGCAUAUCUAGUAAGGAAUUGAGCACAUUCUCUAAGGCAUGUUACUACAUUCAAAAUCAUGUUUUAAUUGGUUAAAUGUGAACUAGUACGUGGUGACUAUGAUUAAAUAUGUGCUUAAGUGUGAAGAUGACUAAAAUCUAUGGGAGUGAUGAUUUUUAACAUGUCAUGUGCAUUGGAAAUCCCUGAGGCAAAUGUUGGAAGGUUUAGAUUGUGUUUUUGUUUUGUUUUGUUUCUUUGUUUUGCUCGAGGACUAGCAAAAGCUAAGUGUGGGGGAAUUUGAUAUGAGCAUAUUUAUGCGACUUAGUUGGCUUGUUCUUAAGCAUUUAUGUUGUUUUUCUUUAGUUAUUUUAGUGUUUAAAGUCAUUUUCGUGCAAUUUCAGGUUUAGAGACGAAGUAUGCAAAGAAGUGCAAAAUGGAGCAUUUUAGAGCAAAAUUGAGCUGGAAUGGAGUGUAUGCUAAUGGAGCACAAGGAAUGGACGAGUUUGAAGGUCAAAGGAGCUUAAGAAAUGAAGAAAUGAAAGUGAAGAACAAAGAAUUCAGAUUUGGAAACCAAAGUUUCUAAAGUUGGAAGUUUCUAUUCUUGGAGGUUUCCAUUUUCGAGAGUUUCUAUUCUUGGCUUUGGGCUUUUAGAUGACCUAAACCCUAAUUCCUUGUGGACCCUAACCCUAGCCGCACCUAGGCCUCUAGAAUAUCUGAUUUCCUUGCCUUGCAAGGCAUUCUAGAAGGCCCAUCUCUAAACCCUAACCCUAGCCGCACCUUAGGCCUUAUUCCCACUAAAAAUCUGAUUGUUUUAACCUAAUUUCUGGUGGAUUUGGGCUUCUAGAAACCCUAAUCUGAUUGCUAGGGUUUUGAAGUGCCUAUAUAUACUCAUUAAACCCUUUUGGCCGGAAAAAUCACCUCCCAUAUACAUCAUUCACGUCAGAAACAAAGAGGCUCUCUUUGCCGCACCUUUCCACCACCAUAUUCCAUAUUUUCUGCCCAAAAUCAUACCUAGCCGCACCACCCAUCAACCCUACACCUUUCCAUACCAUUCCCCAUCCAUUCUACACCAUAAAUACCACCCAAAACCUGUUUUAAAGUUCUCUGCCGUAGCAAGGAGGAAGGAGAAUUCUUGGAUGCGCUUGCUGCCAAGUUGGAGCGUUCUAGGUGUUUUCUUUCUUUGGAUUUUAAUUUCUAAAUUUAUGUAUCUUUGCUUUGCGAGUAUGAGGAACUAAACCCCCCCUUGGAUAGGGGGGAUUCGAAACCAUGUUUAUGCUUGCUAUAUGAUUUGAUUACUUCUAAUUGCGUUUCAUAAGUUGUGAAUUCAAUUUACUUAUCUACAAGAAUUAAAACUGAUUUGUGUAUGUUGGUAGAGGGUCGACACUUAAUUUGCAUGCAUGAAUUUGAUGCUAGGAUAUAAGGAAAUUUCACCUAAUCGUUAUGGACUUAUAUUCAUAAGUAGUAAAGGUUGAUGAUCUCAAUCGCGUUAAGUAAAUUCUUGGCAUAAGUUUCAUGCAAUCAUAGUAACAAGUGCUUCGUCAAUGCUUAUGGUUUUCAUAGAACUUAAUGAUUCUUGCUUCUAUCUCUAUUAUGCAAUCAUGUAGGGGACUUGUGGGGAAUGCUUUGGGUUGUCGUAUGCAAUCAUCCAAUUCAAUAACGUUAGGAAAAUCUGAAUGUUAAUUUAAGCGGACCUAAUUAACUUGGGGCGUUGAGAAUUCAUGGGUUAUUGAAAAGCAAUUGGAAAUCGUUUUGAAUGCAAGUAUAACAUGUGUGGAGAUGAACCCCUUAGCUAGCUUUCUAUCCAUUCAAUUCAAUCAAAUUCGUUUUAAAAUCUGUUUUGAUUUACAAGUGAUAGGAGCAUAUUUAUGUGCCUUAGUUAGCUAGUUCUUAUGCAUUUAUGUUAUGUUUUCUUAGUUAAGUUAGUGUUUUAAGCUAUUUUCAUGUGUUUUCAGGUUUUAGAAACAAAGUGAGCAAAAGGAUGCAAUUUGGAGCAUUUUGGAGCAAAAUUGGGCUAGAAUGAAGUUCAUGCACAUGAAGCACAAGGGAUGGACGAAUUUGAGGAAUUGAUGAAGCUAGGAAGGCGUGUCAAAGUUGAAGAAUUGAAGAAAUAAAGUUUCCUAGUUGAAGAAGGAAAUGGCUUGAAUGAAGGAUUCCUAAAUGAAGAAGGAUUCCUAAUCAAUGUAGGAGUCCUAAUUGAAGAUGGAUUCCUAGACAAAUGAAGUUUCCUACUCAAGCAAGGUUUCCUAUGUGAAGAAGAAGAGUAAAGUCAAAGAAUCAGCUCAAGAGAAGGAUCUUAUCCAAAACCUCAUCCAUAACCUUAUCUUAGCUUAUCUUAUCCAAUCAAACCUUAUCCUAUCCUAUCUUAUCCUUAUCCUAAACUAUCCACAUUUCAGCCACUUAGGAGGGUUUCUAAUUAGAUUAGGAUGCAUAAAAUGGGAUUUCUGGAAGCCUUAUCCCUUCCUAGAUAAGUGCCGCACCCUAUACCUUAUUUCCCUUGGAAUUUCAGAUUUCUAGAAGCCUUAUCAUCCCCUAUCUUUGUGCCGCACCUUAUCUCCCAAUCCCUUUGGGUUUUUGACUUGUUUUCCUUAUAGGAUUGUAUGUUAUUAUCCUAUGCAGAUUAGGCCUUUAAAACCUUGUCCUUGGCUACCUAGGAGAGGGGAUUUUCAGCCUAUAAAUACAAGGCCUUGCCGCACCCUUUCAUUCACGAUCCUCUACCAUAUUUUCACUACACCAUUCACUCAACAUACUCAUUGUGCCGUGAGUUUGCAAGGAGAAGAAGGAAGAAUUCUUGGAGCCGUGCAUGCCAUUCAAGUAGCUUGGAUCGUGGAGCGAUUCUAUGUGUUUUCUAUCUUUGUUUCAAUGUUUAAAUUUAUUUAUCUUUGUUUAUUUGCGAACAUGAGGAACUAAUUUCUUUAUAGUUAGAGGGGAAUUCAAAGCCAUGAUCAUAUGUUUUAUAUGACUUGAUUUCUUCCAAUUAUGAUUUCAUGAAUCGUGAAUGUGGUUUACUUAUCUAUUUAAUUGAUAACAUGUUUAUGUAUGUUAAUUAAGGAUGCAUACUUAGUUCGCAUGCAUGAAUUUGAUGCUAGAGUAU
rnacentral:lncRNA from 1 species